CCUACGGGGGGCAGCAGUGGGGGAUAUUGCACAAUGGGGGAAACCCUGAUGCAGCGACGCCGCGUGUGGGAAGACGGUCCUCUGGAUUGUAAACUACUGUUCUCAGGGACGAAGAUGACGGUACCUUGGGAGGAAGCUCCGGCUAACUACGUGCCAGCAGCCGCGGUAAUACGUAGGGAGCGAGCGUUGUCCGGAAUUACUGGGUUUAAAGGGAGCGUAGGCGGGGAUGCAUGUUGGGUGUCAAAACUACCGGCUCAACUGGUAGUCGCACUCAAAACUGCAGCUCUUGAGUGAAGUAGAGGCAGGCGGAAUUCCUAGUGUAGCGGUGAAAUGCGUAGAUAUUAGGAGGAACACCAGUGGCGAAGGCGGCCUGCUGGGCUUUUACUGACGCUGAGGCUCGAAAGUGUGGGGAGCGAACAGGAUUAGAUACCCCUGUAGUC
rnacentral:rRNA from 1 species